ACAACUGUAAGGACAAUACCGUAGUUGUAUCUCCACGAGGCGUCCUCCCCACGGGCUCCUCUGACCCCAUAUAAACUCCCUCGUCACACUCUUUUAACUCACGAUACUCGCAAACUUGUUUGGAUUUUGCACCCUCUCUCCCUUCCGCAUUCGUUUCUCGUCUCUCAAUUCUAGGGUUACUUUCAUUCUAACGCGCCGAAAAUAGCUUUUGUUCGGUUCUUCUCUGAUUUUUCUUGUUGGUUUUGAUCGAGGUUUCUGGGAACAAAGGGUUUCCGGAAGGAUUUUCUCGUUUUUAAUUGCGAUCUUUGUAUAAUUUUACAGUUAAUACAUCAAUGUCGCU